rnacentral:lncRNA from 1 species
UCGCAAGUCCAGGAGUUUGCCGGAAGUCCGUAGGAGCAUCACUGAGGGUUCAUCGGAUGAUCGACGGAAGUUCGCCGGAAGAAGCGAUUGACGCACCGGAGCAAGAUUGCAGUAAAUGUCUUAGGAAAUAUCGUAGUUAGCACAAUGAUUAAGUUGGAAAUGGGAGGUGAUCCCAUUAACUUAAUCUUGGGGCAAUUGGGCCCCUAAAAAACCC